UACAGAGGUCUCAAGCGUUGUUCGGAUUCAUUGGGCGUAAAGGGUGUGUAGGUGGCGCCGUAAGUCGGGUGUGAAAUCUCUGGGCUUAACUCCGAAACUGCAUUCGAUACUGCGGUGCUUGAGGACUGGAGAGGAGACUGGAAUUCAUGGUGUAGCAGUGAAAUGCGUAGAGAUCAUGAGGAAGACCAGUGGCGAAGGCGGGUCUCUGGACAGUUCCUGACACUGAGACACGAAGGCCAGGGGAGCAAACGGG
rnacentral:rRNA from 1 species